GGGCUAUUAGCUCAGGUGGCCAGAGCGCACCCCUGAUAGGGGUGAGGUCCCUGGUUCGAGUCCAGGAUGGCCCA
rnacentral:tRNA from 1 species